UACGGAGGGGGGCUAGCGUUGUUCGGAAUUACUGGGCGUAAAGCGCACGUAGGCGGCUUUGUAAGUUAGAGGUGAAAGCCCGGGGCUCAACUCCGGAAUUGCCUUUAAGACUGCAUCGCUAGAAUUGUGGAGAGGUAAGUGGAAUUCCGAGUGUAGAGGUGAAAAUUCGUAGAUAUUCGGAAGAACACCAGUGGCGAAGGCGACUUACUGGACACAUAUUGACGCUGAGGUGCGAAAAGCGUGGGGGAGCAAACAGG
rnacentral:rRNA from 1 species